UUCCAGUUGAUGAGUCCCAAAUGCAACGAAACGCGCGUCCUGGAC
rnacentral:hammerhead_ribozyme from 1 species